GUGAGGAAUAUUGCGCAAUGGAGGCAACUCUGACGCAGCCAUGCCGCGUGCAGGAAGAAGGCGCUACGCGUUGUAAACUGCUUUUAACCGGGAAGAAACCCCAGGACGUGUCCUGGGUUGACGGUACCGGAGGAAUAAGCACCGGCUAACUUCGUGCCAGCAGCCGCGGUAAUACGAAGGGUGCAAGCGUUAUCCGGAUUCAUUGGGUUUAAAGGGUGCGUAGGCGGAGCGUUAAGUCAGUGGUGAAAUCCUGCAGCUUAACUGUGGACUUGCCAUUGAUACUGGCGCUCUUGAGUGCGCUUGAAGUGGGCGGAAUGUGCCGUGUAGCGGUGAAAUGCUUAGAUAUGGCACAGAACACCAAUUGCGAAGGCAGCUCACUAAGGCGAUACUGACGCUGAGGCACGAAAGCGUGGGGAUCGAACAGGAUUAGAUACCCUGGUAGUCC
rnacentral:rRNA from 1 species